rnacentral:rRNA from 1 species
UACGUAGACCUCAAGCGUUAUCCGGAUUUAUUGGGCGUAAAGAGCAUGUAGGAGGUUUCGUGCGUUUUUGGUUAAAGCCCACCGCCUAACGGUGGAACUGCCGAAAAUACGGCGAGACUGGAGGAGGUUAGAGGUACACGGAACGGACGGUGUAGGGGUGAAAUCCGUUGAUAUCGUGCGGAACACCAAAGGCGAAGGCAGUGUACUGGGACCUUCCUGACUCUGAGAUGCGAAAGCGUGGGGAGCAAAAAGG